UACGUAGGGUGCAAGCGUUACUCGGAAUUACUGGGCGUAAAGCGUGCGCAGGCGGCUUUGCAAGACAGAUGUGAAAUCCCCGGGCUUAACCUGGGAACUGCAUUUGUGACUGCAUGGCUAGAGUGCGGCAGAGGGGGAUGGAAUUCCGCGUGUAGCAGUGAAAUGCGUAGAUAUCGGGAGGAACACCGGUGGCGAAGGCGGCCCCCUGGUUGGAUACUGACGCUGAGACGCGAAAGCGUGGGGAGCAAACAGG
rnacentral:rRNA from 1 species